rnacentral:rRNA from 1 species
GAUGAACGCUGGCGGCGUGCCUAAUACAUGCAAGUCGAGCGAACGGACGAGAAGCUUGCUUUUCUGAUGUUAGCGGCGGACGGGUGAGUAACACGUGGAUAACCUACCUAUAAGACUGGGAUAACUUCGGGAAACCGGAGCUAAUACCGGAUAAUAUUUUGAACCGCAUGGUUCAAAAGUGAAAGACGGUCUUGCUGUCACUUAUAGAUGGAUCCGCGCUGCAUUAGCUAGUUGGUAAGGUAACGGCUUACCAAGGCAACGAUGCAUAGCCGACCUGAGAGGGUGAUCGGCCACACUGGAACUGAGACACGGUCCAGACUCCUAAGGGAGGCAGCAGUAGGGAAUCUUCCGCAAAGGGCGAAAGCCUGACGGAGCAAAGCCGCGUGAGUGAUGAAGGUCUUCGGAUAGUAAAACUCUGUUAUUAGGGAAGAACAUAUGUGUAAGUAACUGUGCACAUCUUGACGGUACCUAAUCAGAAAGCCACGGCUAACUACGUG